AGUGAACGCUGGCGGUAGGCCUAACACAUGCAAGUCGAACGGCAGCACAGUAAGAGCUUGCUCUUACGGGUGGCGAGUGGCGGACGGGUGAGGAAUACAUCGGACUCUACUUUUUCGUGGGGGAUAACGUAGGGAAACUUACGCUAAUACCGCAUACGACCUCCGGGUGAAAGCAGGGGAUCUUCGGACCUUGCGCGAUUGCAUGAGCCGAUGUCGGAUUAGCUAGUUGGCGGGGUAAAGGCCCACCAAGGCGACGAUCCGUAGCUGGUCUGAGAGGAUGAUCAGCCACACUGGAACUGAGACACGGUCCAGACUCCUACGGGAGGAAGCGGUGGGGAAUAUUGGACAAUGGGCGCAAGCCUGAUCCAGCCAUACCGCGUGGGUGAAGAAGGCCUUCGGGUUGUAAAGCCCUUUUGUUGGGAAAGAAAAGCAGCAGGUUAAUACCCCGCUGUUCUGACGGUACCCAAAGAAUAAGCACCGGCUAACUUCGUG
rnacentral:rRNA from 1 species